GACGUAGGGCGCGAGCGUUGUCCGGAUUUAUUGGGCGUAAAGAGCUCGUAGGCGGCUUGUUACGUCGUUCGUGAAAACUUGGGGCUCAACCCCAAGCUUGCGGUCGAUACGGGCAGGCUAGAGUUCGGUAGGGGAGACUGGAAUUCCUGGUGUAGCGGUGAAAUGCGCAGAUAUCUGGAGGAAUACCGGUGGCGAAGGCGGCAUCCUGGACCGGCAUUGACGCUGAGGAGCGAAAGCUAGGGGAGCAAACGGG
rnacentral:rRNA from 1 species